rnacentral:rRNA from 1 species
GGGUUGUCAUGCCAAUGGCAUUGCCCGGUAGCUAAAUGCGGAAGAGAUAAGUGCUGAAAGCAUCUAAGCACGAAACUUGCCCCGAGAUGAGUUCUCCCUGAGACUUUAAGUCUCCUGAAGGAACGUUGAAGACGACGACGUUGAUAGGUCGGGUGUGUAAGCGUAGCGAUACGUUGAGCUAACCGAUACUAAUGAACCGUGAGGCUUAACCUU